GACGAACCGUGCAAACGUUAUUCGGAAUCACUGGGCUUAAAGGGUGCGUAGGCGGCCCUGUAGGUGGGAUGUGAAAUCCAACGGCUCAACCGUUGAACUGCGUCCCAAACCACAGGGCUCGAGGGAGACAGAGGUGAGCGGAACUCAAGGUGGAGCGGUGAAAUGCGUUGAUAUCUUGAGGAACACCGGAGGCGAAAGCGGCUCACUGGGUCUCAUCUGACGCUGAGGCACGAAAGCUAGGGGAGCGAAC
rnacentral:rRNA from 1 species